GUCUUAUUUCAUACCACCAUUACCUCAGCCAAGGACACAUUUACACAUCAAGUGCAUUAACUACUUUUUUUUUUUUAUACCUGUCUUUUUUUUUCUUCUGUCGUGUCUAUCAACCACAGUUGAUGCUCGCAGGGACGGACCCCUUUCACAGUCGACAUUUUGACUCGUCAGUGCAGGGGGAAAAAAAGAGCAGGUGUAAUUAAUAAACCUCAACAAUGGCUGAGUUCCAUUAAGCGUCUCAUUAACCCGUGUCAGUCAGCCAGCGAGCACAAUACCAGGAGCCUGGAAAGGUUCUCGCCUGAAUGGAAGGCAGCCAUCGUUGCUGCUGCAGUGAGCAAGCCCCUGCGAGCCCUCCAUAAGACAUGCUCCUUCAUGUUUGUUUGCGCUGACCCCUGGGGUUGUGCAGCAGAGGAGGAGAGAUAAACAUAUUUACGAUGCAUGCCCUCUAUACGCGAACUAGCACACGCGGCGCGCGUGCAGAAAAUUGCGGCCAUUUCCGGCCCCCGCUUUUUAACCACAUCGGCUCCGAGAGCAACAGCGCCUGAAGAAUCAAACUGUACCUCGCAGAGAUCCGCAGAUGAGCCGCUGCGCAUUGGAAUUCCUGCACGGGGCAUCGAUUUCUCUCGAUGCUGGAGGUUGCGCCUACGGAGAUAAAUGCACAAUAUAUUGAGAGACUUUCCCUCCUUAAAGCCAGUAGUAUUUCUCCUGUAAACCUGUGGAAAUCUGUUCGUGGUUGCUGCAAAGCACGCGGCUGCACGCUGGCACAUGUUCUUAAGUCCCUAAUCAUUCAUAUAUAAAGAAAAUAAAUGUUUUCCCAUCCGUAUAG